AGUUUGAUAAGUUAUCAAUUACUGGAAAAUUUUGUAUCAUAUAAUAUGAGAAAUAUCUUUCAAUUUAGUAAGUUUAUAGAAAUUUUUAUUUGAGUAAUAUUUAUUUGUACUGUAAAGGGGGUUUGAAAUAUUUUGAAAAUUUAUUUUAUUAAAAGUAUAUUUUGUUUAUAGUACCUUUUGUAUCAGGGUUAAUCAAUUACUUAUAAUUUAUUUAUUAUAUUCUCGAUUUCAGAAGAGCUAAUAAUUUAUUUUAGUUGUUGUUGCAUAAACAUUAACAAUUUUUUAUUAGAGAAGAAAUUUUAUUCGUUUUUAUAGGUAUCUAGUUUUUUAAGAAAUAAAUUUAAUUUAGGUAGUAUUUAUUGAUGAUUUAAUUAAUUAAGUAAUUCUUUAAAUACUACUAAUUCAAUAGGGGAUAAGCUCUAUUGAAUUAUUCUAUAACUUUCUUUUUCAUUUAAUUGUAGUAGGGUUAAAAUCAUCCAUCUUUUUAAUUACGUUAUAGUAUAUAUUAAUUUGUUAUUGAUUUAUUUUUGUUUAGUUUUUUAUUAAAAUUUAAUGGUUAAUAAUUAACCAUUAGUAAUAAUGAUUAAAUUAGUAUAAUUUUAUGUUUAAUGUGAAAUGAUUUUUAUUAUUAAAUAAGGAACUCGGCAAAUAAGCGCUCGCCUGUUUAUCAAAAACAUGUCUUCUUGUUGAUUAUAAGAAGUCUGACCUGCCCAGUUAAUAAUCUCUAACGGCCGCGGUAUAUUGACCGUGCAAAGGUAGCAUAAUCAUUAGUCUUUUAAUAAAAGGCUGGCAUGAAUGGUUUGACGAGGUGCUGACUGUCUCAUUUAAUUUUUAUUAGAAUUUAACUUUUGAGUUAAAAGGCUAGAAUACUUUUGGAAGACGAGAAGACCCUAUAGAGCUUUAUAAUAGUUUAAUUAACCAUAUUUAGUUUAAUUUUUUUGUUUAUUUAACUUAUUAUUUUGUUGGGGUGACAAAAUAUAUAAUUAACUUUUUUAUUUAAUUUUACAUUAAUGUAUGAUUUAUCAAAUCCAUUUUUAGUGAUUACUAAAACAAGUUACCUUAGGGAUAACAGCGUAAUCUUCUUUCAGAGUUCAAAUUUACAAAAAGGCUUGCGACCUCGAUGUUGGAUUAAAAUUAUAGUUAGGUGCAGCAGCUUAACUUAUAGGUCUGUUCGACCUUUAAUUUCUUACAU
rnacentral:rRNA from 1 species